UACGUAGGUGACCAGCGUUGUCCGGAUUUACUGGGCGUAAAGAGCGCGCAGGCGGUCGUUCAAGUCGAGUGUGAAAGCCCCCGGCUCAACUGGGGAGGGUCAUUCGAUACUGAUCGACUGGAAGGCAGGAGAGGGUAGUGGAAUUCCCGGUGUAGUGGUGAAAUGCGUAGAUAUCGGGAGGAACACCAGUGGCGAAGGCGACUACCUGGCCUGUUCUUGACGCUGAGGCGCGAAAGCUAGGGGAGCAAACGGG
rnacentral:rRNA from 1 species